rnacentral:rRNA from 1 species
GAUGAACGCUGGCGGUGUGCCUAAUACAUGCAAGUCGAGCGAACAGACGAGGAGCUUACUCCUCUGACGUUAGCGGCGGACGGGUGAGUAACACGUGGAUAACCUACCUAUAAGACUGGGAUAAAUUCGGGAAACCGGAGCUAAUACCGGAUAACAUGUUGAACCGCAUGGUUCAACAGUGAAAGACGGUCUUGCUGUCACUUAUAGAUGGAUCCGCGUCGCAUUAGCUAGUUGGUAAGGUAACGGCUUACCAAGGCAACGAUGCGUAGCCGACCUGAGAGGGUGAUCGGCCACACUGGAACUGAGACACGGUCCAGACUCCUACGGGAGGCAGCAGUAGGGAAUCUUCCGCAAUGGGCGAAAGCCUGACGGAGCAACGCCGCGUGAGUGAAGAAGGUCUUCGGAUCGUAAAACUCUGUUAUUAGGGAAGAACAAAUGUGUAAGUAACUAUGCACGUCUUGACGGUACCUAAUCAGAAAGCCACGGCUAACUACGUG